rnacentral:rRNA from 1 species
CAAACCGGAGGAAGGUGGGGACGACGUCAAGUCAUCAUGGCCCUUAUGUCCUGGGCUACACACGUGCUACAAUGGCCGGUACAGAGCGCAGCGAGGCCGCGAGGCGGAGCGAAUCGCUUAAAGCCGGUCCCAGUACGGAUUGGAGUCUGCAACCCGACUCCAUGAAGUUGGAAUCGCUAGUAAUCGCGCAUCAGCCAUGGCGCGGUGAAUACGUUCCCGGGCCUU